rnacentral:rRNA from 1 species
UUGGUCCUAGCCUUGAAAUUAAUUGUUACUAAACUUACACAUGCAAGCUUCCACACCCCUGUGAGUAUUCCCUUGCCACUUUUCCUCAAGAACAAGAUACAGGUAUCAGGCUCAAUUAUGCCCAAAACACCUAGCCUAGCCACACCCCCAAGGACUUCAGCAGUGAUUAACAUUGAAUAUAAGCGACAGCUUGAUUCAAUUAUGGUAAACAGGGCUGGCAAAGUUAGUGCCAGCCGCCGCGGUCACACUACAUCAGCUCAAAUUAAUAUCUAUCGGCGUAAAGCGUGAUUAAAGCACUUAAUAAAACUAGAGUCAAACAUAUAAUUAUUCUGUUUAAACCUCAUUUAUAAGAAGCUCAACAACGAAAGUCACUCUAAACAGUCAACUUGAACUCACGACAGCAGAGAAACAAACUGGG